rnacentral:rRNA from 1 species
CAGUCGCCGCGGUAAUACGGAGGAUCCAAGCGUUAUCCGGAAUCAUUGGGUUUAAAGGGUCCGUAGGCGGUCUUGUAAGUCAGUGGUGAAAGCCCAUCGCUCAACGGUGGAACGGCCAUUGAUACUGCAGGACUUGAAUUAUUGGGAAGUAACUAGAAUAUGUAGUGUAGCGGUGAAAUGCUUAGAGAUUACAUGGAAUAUCAAUUGCGAAGGCAGGUUACUACCAAUUGAUUGACGCUGAUGGACGAAAGCGUGGGUAGCGAACAGGAUUAGAUACCCCCGUAGUCCCUGUCUCUUAUAC